GCGGACGUAGCGCAGUUGGUAGCGCGGAACCUUGCCAAGGUUCAGGUCGCGGGUUCGACCCCCGUCGUCCGCUCCA
rnacentral:tRNA from 1 species